CGUUGGGAGUACCACCACUUUUAUGUGGUUUUGCGAUACGGCCCUGUGGCGCAGUUGGUUAGCGCGCCGCCCUGUCA
rnacentral:tRNA from 1 species